AAAUCUUUAAGCCAAAAUUGAGCAUUUAGUUUACUUUAAAUCCUAAACUCUAAAUUUUAAGCCCUAAAUCUAAAAUCCUAAACAUGAUUUUAUUUAAAAUGUUUUUGCAAUCAUUUGCCUAUUUAUUGUUUACAAAAUUUUGUUGAUAGAUCAAGCUUGGAGAUGGAUCUUAUAGAAAGGUGAAAUGAGUUAGAAUAUUAUCAAGUUCUAGCAAAACAAAUGUGAUGUUGGGAGCUUAAGUCAAUACAAUGGCUUUAUUUAA
rnacentral:lncRNA from 1 species